UACGUAGGGGGCAAGCGUUGUUCGGAAUUACUGGGCGUAAAGGGCGCGUAGGCGGCACGGCAAGUCAGGAGUGAAAGGCCUGGGCUCAACCGAGGAACUGCUUUUGAGACUGCCGAGCUAGAGUGCAGAAGGGGCAACUGGAAUUCCCAGUGUAGCGGUGAAAUUCGUAGAUAUCGGGAGGAAUACCAGUGGCGAAGGCGGCAUCCUGGACCGACAUUGACGCUGAGGAGCGAAAGCUAGGGUAGCAAACGGG
rnacentral:rRNA from 1 species